UACGUAGGUGGCAAGCGUUGUCCGGAUUUACUGGGCGUAAAGAGCGCGCAGGCGGUCGUGCAAGUCGCGUGUGAAAGCCCCCGGCUCAACUGGGGAGGGUCACGCGAUACUGCUCGACUCGAAGGCAGGAGAGGGAAGUGGAAUUCCCGGUGUAGUGGUGAAAUGCGUAGAUAUCGGGAGGAACACCAGUGGCGAAGGCGACUUCCUGGCCUGUUCUUGACGCUGAGGCGCGAAAGCUAGGGUAGCAAACGGG
rnacentral:rRNA from 1 species